ACGAACGCUGGCGGCGUGCCUAAUACAUGCAAGUCGAACGGUCUUUCUAUGGAAGCUUGCUUCCACUGAGAAGAUAGUGGCGAACGGGUGAGUAACACGUGGGUAACCUGCCCAUAAGAGGGGGGAUAACAUCCGGAAACGGGUGCUAAUACCGCAUAGUUUUCUUGAUCGCAUGAUUGAGAAAGGAAAGACGGCCUUUGUGCUGUCGCUUAUGGAUGGACCCGCGGCGUAUUAGUUAGUUGGUGGGGUAACGGCUCACCAAGACGAUGAUACGUAGCCGACCUGAGAGGGUGAUCGGCCACAUUGGGACUGAGACACGGCCCAAACUCCUACGGGAGGCAGCAGUAGGGAAUCUUCCGCAAUGGACGAAAGUCUGACGGAGCAACGCCGCGUGAGUGAAAGAAGGUUUUCGGAUCGUAAAACUCUGUUGUCAGAGAAGAACAAGUUGGAGAGUAACUGCUCCAGCCUUGACGGUAUCUGACCAGAAAGCCACGGCUAACUACGUGCCAGCCGCCGC
rnacentral:rRNA from 1 species